rnacentral:rRNA from 1 species
GUGAGGUAAUGGCUCACCAAGGCAUCGACGGGUAGCUGGUCUGAGAGGACGAUCAGCCACACUGGGACUGAGGCACGGCCCAGACUCCUACGGGAGGCAGCAGUGGGGAAUCUUGCGCAAUGGACGAAAGCCUGACGCAGCAACGCCGCGUGAGGGAAGACGGCUCUCGGGUUGUAAACCUCUUUCAGCAGGGACGAAAUUGACGGUACCUGCAGAAGAAGCGCCGGCCAACUGCGUGCCAGCAGCCGCGGUAACACGUAGGGCGCAAGCGUUGUCCGGAUUUAUUGGGCGUAAAGAGCUCGUAGGCGGUUUCGUAAGUCGGGUGUGAAAACUCAGGGCUCAACUCUGAGACGCCACCCGAUACUGCGAUGACUUGAGUCCGGUAGAGGAGUAGGGAAUUCCUGGUGUAGCGGUGGAGUGCGCAGAUAUCAGGAGGAACACCAAUGGCGAAGGCAGUGCUCUGGGCCGGUACUGACGCUGAGGAGCGAAAGCGUGGGGAGCAAACAGGAUUAGAUACCCUGGUAGUCCACGCCGUAAACGUUGGGCACUAGGUGUGGGACCUUCUAACGGGUUCCGUGCCGUAGCUAACGCAUUAAGUG